CCGCGAACUCGUAGGCGUGGAUCAGCCCGCGGUGCCUAGAGGAAGCACAGACAGCAUGCGUCGGGACGGUCCCCGUGAACGCUCCCGUCCUUCGGGCCGACAGCAUGGCGGACACGCAGUCCCGGGACUGGAGACAGGGAAGACACCUGCCCUGAGCGGGAGUCCACACACAGGAAAGCUCAACUCUGACCACACCGGACCGAGGAGGCUGACCCAGUGAAAAGGACCCCAAAUCUGCUACCUGUGGAUCUCUCGAAAAGAAAGGGACGUGGCAAAAUACUGGAAGGACUGUGAGGGGAGCACACAGAGGGAUGCAUGAAACACUCCAGCGUGGCUCGAGAAGAUGGCUUUGCGAAGUCACAGACUGCAUGUGGGAAGAACCCACCUAGGAGCAAGAAGGGCUCCGAAUGGAUCACCAAGUACCUCCAACUCAGUAUGUGCUACGAAUGAGAGGUGGACUGCAGCAGGAAAAGCUUUAUAAUGAUGGAGACAGUUUAGUAAGUGUCUGAUAAAACUUGCCUGGACAGGAAAAACCUACAUGGACCUAAUUUUUUUUGGAGAUUUUUUUUUUUUUUUUAAAUAAUGGUUUCUUCAGUCACUAUGUACUCAGGUUUGAGCCGAUUUUCUUCAAUCUCCUGGGAAUUACCCAAACUGACCCCCGAGGAUAGAAAAAGUAACAAUGAGCAGAUGGGGAAAGCUCUCAAGGGAGCCAACGGUCCCUGGAACAAGCGAGCGACACAGGCACACCCUGGAGGCCGCGCACCUGGCUCCCCAGCACAAGAAGGAGCAAACCGCUUCCCCGAGCUUGAUGUGAGGCCGGCAUCCUGUCAUCACCCAGACCCUGCCGAUCGGCCCAGUGUGAGAGGCGGCGCUGGGUCUGGGUCAAUGCCAGACCUCAAGACAGUACAGCAGGGUCCAGAGCCAUGUGCUGCCCACAAGCAGAACCUGUCGAGGAAUCUACUGCAGUUCACCACGUGACUACAACGAAUGGGGAAAGCCACACGGUCGUUUCCACAAACGCUGAAAAGAAAUUCGAGGAGACAGAACACUUCCUUCUACCGAAGGCUUUAAAAAACGAUGAUCCGUUUUUACCAAUACUUCACAGUGUUUAAUAACAGACACAAUUAGGGGCACCUGGGUGGCUCAGGUCACGAUCCCAAGGUUCGUGAAUUUGAGCCCCGCGUCAGGCUCUCUGCUGUCAAGUGCGGAGCCCGCUGGGACCCUCCAUCCCCCUCCCCGGCUUGCACCCUCUCAAACAUUUAAAAAAAAAACCCAGACACGAUUAGAUAAAAGACAAAAUGAGAAGGGGACAAAUUAGAGAUGACAGCCAAAGAUAAUUCAGUAAUAACUCAGAAUCAAAUGAAAUUAAUACGUCAAAAUCAAUAGCUGUCUUAAAACCAACCACUGGUUUUAAAAAUGUAAUCAAAGAUCCCACUUAAGAGAGCAAUUAACUCUCUCAACUUGGAUCUCUACCAUAUACACUGCAUCAAAAUAAAUUACAGGUGGCUCAAAGAGUUCAACAUAAUUAACGGCCAAGAAUAUUCAGAAUAGGGAAGGCCCUUCUAAACACCUAAACCCAGAAGUCAAAAAUAUUGAUAAAAGUAUUGAAAUUUUUCCCACGGAGGGGGGAAAAAUCAAAGUUGAGGCAAAUGAUAAACUGGGGAAAAUGUAUGCAUCAGAGAGGAAUGGCUAAUUUCUUGUAAAAAAAAAAAUUCCUUCAAAUUGAAAGUAAAGAUGGGCAACCUGAAAUUAAAAUAAAAGCUAAGAAAAAACACGAAAUUACUAAUGGCUUUUAAACAUGUGUGAGAUGUGCUCACUGGUAAU